UACGGAGGGUGCAAGCGUUGCUCGGAAUUAUUGGGCGUAAAGCGUAUGUAGGCGGUUUUCUAAGUCUGAUGUGAAAUCCCAGGGCUUAACUCUGGAACUGCAUUGGAUACUGGAAAGCUAGAGGACGAUAGAGGAUGGUGGAAUUCCUGGUGUAGGGGUGAAAUCCGUAGAUAUCAGGAGGAACAUCAGUGGCGAAGGCGGCCAUCUGGAUCGUACCUGACGCUGAGAUACGAAAGCGUGGGGAGCAAACAGG
rnacentral:rRNA from 1 species